AUAUUUAACUGGCAGAGGAAAUACCAUGAUCACAAAGGUGGUUUUCCCAGGGUGAGGCUUAUUGAUUACACUCUAGAUGUGCUGAUCCCUGCGACUUUCCCAAAUGUGGGAAACUCGACUGCAUCAUUUGUGGUAGUGGGGGACUGCGUUUGCACUCUCUUCUU